UCGUGCUAUUAGAUGAGUCUGCGUCGGAUUAGCUUGUUGGUGAGGUAAUGGCUCACCAAGGCGACGAUCCGUAGCUGGUCUGAGAGGAUGACCAGCCACACUGGAACUGAGACACGGUCCAGACUCCUACGGGAGGCAGCAGUGGGGAAGUAUUGCACAAUGGGCGCAAGCCUGAUGCAGCCAUGCCGCGUGUGUGAAGAAGGACCUUAGGGUUGUUAAAGCACUUUCAGCAGUGAGGAAAGGGGUGGUCGUUAAUAGCGCCAUCCUGUGACGUUAACUGCAGAAGAAGGACCGGCUAACUCCGUG
rnacentral:rRNA from 1 species